UACAGAGGUGGCGAGCGUUGUUCGGAUUUACUGGGCGUAAAGGGAGCGUAGGUGGCCUAACAUGUCAACUGUGAAAACCCGGAGCUCAACUCCGGACUUGCAGUUGAAACUGGUAGGCUUGAGGACGGUAGAGGAAGACGGAACUGCCAGUGUAGGGGUAAAAUCCUUAGAUAUUGGCAGGAACGCCGGUGACGAAGGUGGUUUUCUGGGCCGGUUCUGACACUGAUGCUCGAAAGCCAGGGGAGCGAACGGGAUUAGAUACCAAUGUAGUCCCUGAGCGGGCU
rnacentral:rRNA from 1 species